CCUACGGGAGGCAGCAGUGAGGAAUAUUGGUCAAUGGGCGCAAGCCUGAACCAGCAAAGUAGCGUGAAUGAUGACUGCCCUACGGGUUGUAAACUUCUUUUAUAAAGGAAUAAAGUGAGGCACGUGUGCCUUUUUGUAUGGACUUUAUGAAUAAGGAUCGGCACACUCCGUGCCAGCAGCCGCGGUAAUACGGAGGAUACGAGCGUUAUCCGGAUUUAUUGGGUUGAAAGGGAGCGUAGAUGGGUUGUUAAGUCAGUUGUGAAAGUGUGCGGCUUAACCGUAGAAGUGCAAUUGAUACUGGCAGCCUUGAGUACAGUUGAGGUAGGUGGAAUUCGUGGUGUAGCGGUGAAAUGCUUAGAUAUCACGAAGAACUCCGAUGGCGAAGGCAGCCUACUAAACUGCAACUGACAUUGAUGUUCGAAAGUGUGGGUAUCAAACAGGAGUAGAUACCCGAGUAGUC
rnacentral:rRNA from 1 species